CGGGGGGAGGGAAGAGGAAAACUGCUUACCUCGGAAAACAGAAAAGCCCGGAAAAACUAUUGACAAUUCUUCCAGGACAUUGGUGUGUGCCUCAUCCGCUCAGAAGGAAUUUACAGCCUGCGGACUCUGGGAACCUGACUCACACAGCUCAAGACUGUAGAAAGAGGCUUCCGGAACCUCAGAGCGGUGUCUUCUUUAGCUGCAUCGCCCUGCCUAACUGCUUCUCUGCUUCCACACAAAGAAGGUGCAGAGUUCCUACUUGGGUCUCUCUGAACUAGUCUGCGUCUUAUUAGUCUUCGAUCUGAAUCGCGUUUCAAGACACUAGGUUUCUUUUUUUUCCUUUUCAAGCGUUUGCAGUUAACCCUUUGGCGCCCCAAACUUACCCGCAAACUCCAGCUUCCAAAGUAGCGACCAUUGUACGGUAUUGUAAAAUCUAGAGAAAUAAAAAAUCACCGGCAAGCAG